AUGGCGAAGAAGGCGGCGGUGAUCGCCACGCUGCUGGCCCUGAACCUGCUCUUCUUCACCUUCGCCGACGCCUGCGGCUGCCACUGCGGAUCCUGCCCUAGCCCCGGCGGAGGCGGCGGCGGUGGGGGUGGCGGUGGAGGUGGGAGUGGUGGCGGCGGUGGUGGGAGCGGGGGCAGUGGAGGCAGCGGUGGAGGCGGUUCUGGAGGAGGAGGCAGCGGCGGAGGGGGAUCUGGAGGAGGCGGUAGCGCCGGAGGCGGAUCAGGAGGAGGCGGCAGCGGCGGCGGCGGGUCCGGCGGUGGCGGAUCGGGAGGAGGCGGAUCAGGCGGGCGCGCGCGGUGCCCCAUCGAUGCGCUGAAGCUGGGGGUGUGCGCCAACGUGCUCAACGGGCUGAUCAACCUGCAGCUGGGGACGCCGCCGAAGCAGCCGUGCUGCUCGCUGAUCCAGGGGCUCGCCGACCUGGAGGCGGCGGUGUGCCUGUGCACGGCGCUCAAGGCCAACAUCCUGGGCAUCAACCUCAACGUGCCCAUCGAUCUCAGCCUCCUCGUCAACUACUGCGGCAAGAACGUCCCCUCCGGCUUCCAGUGCCCCCGCUAG
rnacentral:rRNA from 1 species